GGGGCCAUAGCUCAGUAGUAGAGCAUCCACCUUAGAAGCAGAAGGUCCCAGAUUCAAUCCCUGGCACCUCCA